UAGGUAAUUUUCCCUUGAGCGGGGGACAACGUUCCGAAAGGGACGCUAAUACCGCAUAAGUUCUUUGGGUCCUCGGACCUGGAGAGGAAAGCUAGGUAGCAAUAUCUGGCACUCGAGGAGAAGCCUGCGUCGCAUCAGCUUGUUGGUGGGGUGAUGGCCUACCAAGGCGACGACGGGUAGCCGGCCUGAGAGGGCGACCGGCCACACUGGGACUGAGACACGGCCCAGACUCCUACGGGAG
rnacentral:rRNA from 1 species